rnacentral:rRNA from 1 species
AGAGUUUGAUCCUGGCUCAGGAUGAACGCUGGCGGCGUGCCUAACACAUGCAAGUCGAACGGACCUGAUACGAUGAUCUUUUCGGAGAGAAUUGUUGAAAGGUUAGUGGCGGACGGGUGAGUAACGCGUGGGCAACCUGCCCCGUACCGGGGGAUAGCAGCUGGAAACGGCUGGUAAAACCGCAUAAGCGCACGGUACUGCAUGGUACAGUGUGAAGAACUCCGGUGGUACGGGAUGGGCCCGCGUCCGAUUAGCCAGUUGGCGGGGUAAUAGCCCACCAAAGCGACGAUCGGUAGCCGGCCUGAGAGGGCGGACGGCCACAUUGGGACUGAGACACGGUCCAGACUCCUACGGGAGGCAGCAGUGGGGGAUAUUGCACAAUGGGGGGAACCCUGAUGCAGCGACGCCGCGUGGGUGAAGAAGUAUUUCGGUAUGUAAAGCCCUAUCAGCAGGGACGAUAAUGACGGUACCUGAGUAAGAAGCCCCGGCUAACUACGUGCCAGCAGCCGCGGUAAUACGUAGGGGGCAAGCGUUAUCCGGAUUUACUGGGUGUAAAGGGGGCGCAGACGGAUACACAAGCCAGAUGUGAAAGCUCAGAGCUCAGCGCUGAGAGUGCAUUUGGAACUGUGGAUCUAGAGUACUGGAGAGGUAAGCGGAAUUUCUGGUGUAGCGGUGAAAUGCGUAGAUAUCAGGAAGAACACCGGUGGCGAAGGCGGCUUACUGGACAGAGACUGACGUUGAGGCCCGAAAGCGUGGGGAGCAAACAAGAUUAGAUACCCUGGUAGUCCACGCGGUAAACGAUCUAUACCAGGUGCUGGCGUGCAAAGCACGUCCGUGCCGGGGCAAAC